ACGCUGGCGGCGUGCCUAACACAUGCAAGUCGAACGAGAUGCGUAUUGGAAAGCUUCGGCCGGAAGAUGCGUUAUCUAGUGGCGGACGGGUGAGUAACACGUGGGUAACCUGCCUUAUGGAGGGGGAUAACAGAGAGAAAUCACUGCUAAUACCGCAUAAGCACACAUUGCCGCAUGGCAGAGUGUGAAAAGAUUUAUCGCCAUAAGAUGGACCCGCGUCUGAUUAGCCAGUUGGCAGGGUAAAAGCCUACCAAAGCAACGAUCAGUAGCCGAUCUGAGAGGAUGACCGGCCACAUUGGGACUGAGACACGGCCCAAACUCCUACGGGAGGCAGCAGUGGGGAAUAUUGCACAAUGGGGGAAACCCUGAUGCAGCGACGCCGCGUGAGUGAAGAAGUAUUUCGGUAUGUAAAGCUCUAUCAGCAGGGAAGAUAAUGACAGUACCUGACUAAGAAGCCCCGGCUAACUACGUGCCAGCAGCCGCGGUAAUACGUAGGGGGCAAGCGUUAUCCGGAUUUACUGGGUGUAAAGGGAGCGUAGACGGAAUGGCAAGUCUGAAGUGAAAACCCCGGGCUCAACCUGGGGACUGCUUUGGAAACUGUUGUUCUAGAGUGUUGGAGAGGUAAGUGGAAUUCCUGGUGUAGCGGUGAAAUGCGUAGAUAUCAGGAAGAACACCGGAGGCGAAGGCGGCUUACUGGACAAUAACUGACGUUGAGGCUCGAAAGCGUGGGGAUCAAACAGGAUUAGAUACCCUGGUAGUCCACGCUGUAAACGAUGAAUACUAGGUGUCGGGGAGCAAAGCUUCUCGGUGCCGUCGCUAACGCAAUAAGUAUUCCACCUGGGGAGUACGUUCGCAAGAAUGAAACUCAAAGGAAUUGACGGGGACCCGCACAAGCGGUGGAGCAUGUGGUUUAAUUCGAAG
rnacentral:rRNA from 1 species